GGGAGUUCGACCGACCUUUGGGUCAUCCUUGGUUGGCUUUGGGAAGCCUUUAGAGACUUAAUUGGAGCAGCAUUGGGGCUUCGUUGAGCCGUUGUGGGACUUCUUGUGGAUAAUUGGAGCCUAGUACUAGCUUAAGAUGCCGUUGACUCGUUCGCAAGCCGCCGGGGCAGCUGAGGCGGCGGAUGCAGAGGAAGUGGGGACUUCUGUUACUUCGGGAGCUAGUGCGAUCCAUGAGUUACAGGAUCAGCUUGCGAUGUUGACGGAUUUGGUUACUCAGCGGGCUGCAGCAGCACGACAGCAGAUGGAUGCCGUGCGUCGGCAGGAGGACAGGAUGAAGAGGUUAGAGGAUCUGUUACUGCGACAGACGACU